GGGGAUGUAAAGGUUUCGACAGGGGUGCGUGUGGUAUAGAUAGCGAGUCGGCGUUCCAUGAGGCCGUUAAACGGUGGGAAAACAUUUAAACGCAGAAGAAAAUUUUGCAUUAGCUGCAUAAGCUACGUCCCUCAUACUUGUGCCUACCAAGUGUGAAUGGACGUCAAACCGUAGGCUUCAUAGACUGUGCUCGGAGAAGUCUAUAUGGCAACACUUCUGGACAGGGGUUCGACUCCCCUCAUCUCCACCA
rnacentral:tmRNA from 1 species